CCUACGGGAGGCUGCAGUGGGGAAUAUUGCACAAUGGGGGAAACCCUGAUGCAGCAACGCCGCGUGAGUGAGUAAGGCUUUCGGAUUGUAAAGCUCUUUUAGCAGGGAAGAGGAAGCACGGUACCUCCAGAGGAAGCCACGGCGAACUACGUGCCAACAGCCACGGUAAUACGGGGGUGGUAAGCGUUGAUCGGAAUAACUGGGCUUAAAGGAUGCGUUGGCCGUAAAAUAAGGUAUAUGUUAAAUAUAUAGGCCUAACCUGUAGAAAGCCGAUAAAACUGGUUAACUAGAGUGUAGGAGAGGUAAGCGGAAUGCGUAGUGUAGCGGUGAAAUGCGUAGAGAUUAGGAAGAACACCAGUGGCGAAGGCGGCAUACUGGACUGUAACUGACGCUGAGGCAUGAGAGCAUGGGUAGCAAACAGGAUUAGAUACCCGUGUAGUC
rnacentral:rRNA from 1 species